AUUGAACGCUGGCGGCAGGCCUAACACAUGCAAGUCGAACGGUAGCACAGAGAGCUUGCUCUCGGGUGACGAGUGGCGGACGGGUGAGUAAUGUCUGGGAAACUGCCCGAUGGAGGGGGAUAACUACUGGAAACGGUAGCUAAUACCGCAUAAUGUCGCAAGACCAAAGAGGGGGACCUUCGGGCCUCUUGCCAUCGGAUGUGCCCAGAUGGGAUUAGCUAGUUGGUGAGGUAAUGGCUCACCAAGGCGACGAUCCCUAGCUGGUCUGAGAGGAUGACCAGCCACACUGGAACUGAGACACGGUCCAGACUCCUACGGGAGGCAGCAGUGGGGAAUAUUGCACAAAGGGCGCAAGCCUGAUGCAGCCAUGCCGCGUGUGUGAAGAAGGCCUUCGGGUUGUAAAGCACUUUCAGCGGGGAGGAAGGCAAUACGGUUAAUAACCGUGUUGAUUGACGUUACCCGCAGAAGAAGCACCGGCUAACUCCGUG
rnacentral:rRNA from 1 species